rnacentral:lncRNA from 1 species
GCAAUUUGCUACCAUGAGAAGGGUGUUGUCCAAGGGUAUGAGCUCUUAAAAACAGAGGAUAUAUUUCUACUAAAAGGAAUCUCUGAGGAUGGUACACCUGCCUUUCAUCCUCAUUUUGUUCAGAAGAAUGGUCAUGCUGUUCUAAGGUUUCUUCAAUCAAAUUGCAAAGAGGAUCCUGGAGUUUAUUGGGUAACAUUAUAGAUUAUUAUUAUUAUUUCUUUAGCUAGAAUUAUUAUUUGUUGAUGUCAUUGCUUACGGUUGAUUUGGCUAUGUCCUUUUCAGCUCUACAAAAGUGCGGGUGAAGAUGUGAUUCAGCUUUUUGAUCUCUCCAUUAUUUCAAAGAGCCAUUCUUCAGGAGAUGAAAACGACAACGCAAGCACAUUACCGUCUAUGAUUUACAGUGGGAGAAGUGACUCACUGUUUUCUUUAGGAAAUCUUCUAUAUCGUGUUGGUCAUAGACUUUCUUUGUCUGUGGUAAGAAGACAAUAUAUUAAUAUGCAUGAAACAUGUGCUUUUCUAACACUUUGCAUCCUGUCCAGGUGCCGAAUGAUCUGGCCAAGUGUGCAAGUUUCCUCAGAAAAUGUUUGAAUUUUUUGGACGAGCCUGAUCAUAUGGUAUAUGUUUCUUAAGACCAUCUUUUAAAUAGCAUUGAGCCUUUUUUGUUUUGCUAAAUAUUUGAUGGGAACUCAUCUCUGAUACCAUGCUUGAUGUGGAUGAGUCUUUGUUUUUGAACUUUGCUAUGCAUUCAGUGAGGGUGGAGGCAUGUGAUUGCCCUCCAACACAUUCGCCACAUACCGAGGGACAGUCAAGUUCGUCUGCUCUCCCCGCGGAAGAGAACUCACGUAGUGCUCCUGACGACAGACUUGACAAAGCUGCAGGGAGUGGUAAACAAGUGAAACAUGAUGGUCUUAUUUGUAAGAAUGAGAAGAGCAAAAAGAACAAGCAAGUAAGAAAAAAUACUCUAAUCAGCGAAAAGAAUCGAAAGAUCAAGCCGUCAGGAGACUCUGAGAAACACAAAAGAUGUGGGAGCAAUGAGUUUUUAAGAGUUCUGUUUUGGCAGUUCCAUAACUUCCGCAUGCUUCUGGGAAGUGAUCUGCUUCUCUUUAGCAACGAAAAAUAUUUGGCUGUAAGCUUGCACUUGUGGGAUGUUAGCGAAAAGGUUACUGCUAUGCUCUAGACUGGUUUUGCUUUUUCUUCUUCUUAUCAGUAGAGUCUCUGCUAAUUGUUCAUUUUUUAUUUGCACAGGUUACACCGUUAACAUGGCUUGAAGCUUGGCUUGAUAAUGUAAUGGCAAGUGUGCCCGAGCUAGCAAUUUGCUACCAUGAGAAGGGUGUUGUCCAAGGGUAUGAGCUCUUAAAAACAGAGGAUAUAUUUCUACUAAAAGGAAUCUCUGAGGAUGGUACACCUGCCUUUCAUCCUCAUUUUGUUCAGAAGAAUGGUCAUGCUGUUCUAAGGUUUCUUCAAUCAAAUUGCAAAGAGGAUCCUGGAGUUUAUUGGGUAACAUUAUAGAUUAUUAUUAUUAUU